AAUGAACGUUGGCGGCGUGGAUUAGGCAUGCAAGUCGAGCGAGAACCCCGCAAGGGGGGACAGCGGCAAACGGGGUAGUAAUGUGUCGGAACGUGCCCAGAGGACGGGGAUAGCGGCGGGAAACUGCCGGUAAUACCCGAUGAUCUCGAGAGAGCAAAGGUGUGAUUCCGCCUUUGGAGCGGCCGACAUGGUAUUAGCUAGUUGGCGGGGUAACGGCCCACCAAGGCUGUGAUGCCUAGGGGAUGUGAGAGCAUGAUCCCCACCAUUGGGACUGAGACACCGCCCAGACACCUACGGGUGGCUGCAGUCGAGAAUCUUCGUCAAUGGGCGAAAGCCUGAACAAGCGACGCCGCGUGCGGGAUGAAGGCCUUUGGGUUGUAAACCGCUGUCGAGGGGGAUGAAGGCAUUCAGGUCCUCCUGAAUGUUUGACAGAGCCCUGGAGGAAGCACGGGCUAAGUUCGUGCCAGCCGCCGCCGUAAUAC
rnacentral:rRNA from 1 species